rfam:Paenibacillus riograndensis SBR5 isolate SBR5(T) genome assembly, chromosome: I
CUAUUUCACUAGGGGAGUCUGCCGACUGAGAUGAAGCGUGAAGCUUCGGACCCUUGGAACCUGAUCUGGAUCAUACCAGCGGAGGGAAGUGGAACAGAAACGAU